CUUCCCUCCCCUCUCCCCUUCCUUUCCCUUCCUCUCCCAGAUCACAGUGAGCAGGAGGAGCUCUGGGACACAGCAGGGAGAUUCCUUCCUUCCCAGGCAGCCUCUGGCAGGCAGGAAAGCAGGAACUGCCUGAAACAGAGAGAUCUGUCUGGUUUUGGCGGAGGGUGAUACGGGGAAAGGGUAGAACUGUCUUCUCCCAAUUACUCUGGAAAAAGCCACUUCUGAAGGACCUGGAACAAGAAGAGUUUCCACUGAUGUAAACAAAUUUCCCAGCAGAACUUCAAACAUUCUUUGUCUGUCUCCCUUUGGAGAGUGUUUCCAGGAACCAGCAGCUCUGUGUACCCCAGUCAUUUGCAUUCUGUGCUGCAUGUUCAGCACUUUCUUGCUCACUGGAACAGUUGUUGAUUUUUAAUUGGGAUCUGUUAUUAUUCUGGCCAUUAAACCAGCACGGCAAAAUGGA